GCCGGCCCACAGCCAGAGCCAUGCAAGCGCAGUUCUCUUCGGACAGGUAAACCCUUUCUCAGCGGGCUCCUCCGCGCGCUGAGUGUCAGUUGCACGUCUUACCUGAUAGGUGGGUAGGCACUCGCCUGUGGAGGAGCCUGAAGCUUCUAGGGGUGCCUUGCUCUUUCAGGAGAAAGCGGCCAGAAGGAGCGGGUGGGGAGCCCUGGAGAGGUGGGAGUGGAGGCUCUCUUUUAUACCUGCGUCUGUCGCUGAUUCCAAAAGGCGUAGGGGAGCCCGGGACGCGCCCUCCAGGCCACUGGGCGGGCAGUGUAUCCUGCGGGAACCCGAGCCUGCUCGGGGCUCUGUGGGGUUGAGGGUCGUGGAAGGCUUCUAGGCGCAGGAGCGGCGGCGACUGUGGCUACUGACAUUAAGAAGGGUCCCCGGGAGUUUUGCGAGAAAUUAGAGGGUGACGACGGCCAGCGGGCGCUGGUCAUAAAAUUCCGGGCUCAGCCCGGCCUCCAGAGGUCAGAAAUAGGUGGUUAUCUGAGAGGGAGGGACGAGGCGAACUCUCCGAGAGCCACAAACUGGAGAAGCCGCUCCCGCUGGCUGGGACCAGGGACUCUCCUGCAAGAGGCCUAGGGUCACUAAGGAAACAUAACCAGCGGUAGUGCAGGGAACGGAACCUGCGUGAUGUCACAGCGGCUGGAGCAGCUCCUCUCUCUUCCCUCAGAGCCACUGUCUCAAGACUCUGCCCUUCUUCAAGAGAAGAGCCCAGAAGAAGAGAGAAUGACUGCUAGGCCCUUUAUGGCUGGAUUCAGGGUGAGCUGGAUUUUCUUUUCAUUUCCUGAAAUAUCUUAUAUUUUCUACUUUCAUUCUGGUGGUUUGGGGCCCAAAAAAACUUCAAUUCAGUCACUUGAAUUCCACCCGCCCCACCAACUUUCAUGUUGAAUUAUAAUCCCCAGUGUUGGAGGAGGGGCCUGGUAGGAGGUGAUAGAUCAUAGGGGCAGAUAUCCACCUUGCUGUUCUUUUGAUAGUGAGUGAGUUCUCACAAGAUCUGGUUGUUUAAAAGUGGGUGGCACCUGCCCUCUCUCUCUCUCUUCCUCCUUCUCCAGCCAUGUAAGGCAUGCCUGCUUCCCCUUCACCUUCCACCAUGAUUGUAAGUUUCCUGAGGCCUCCCCAGGUGUGCUUCCUGUACAGCCUGUGGAAUGAGUUACCAAAGACGUUGGAAGAGGUGGCUAUGGACAUCACCUGGGAGAAGUGGAAGCAAAUGGACACUGUUCAGAAGUCCAUAUACAGAAACAUGUUGGAAAAAUAUAGAAACCUGGUUUUGCUAGAUGGGAAGCUUGAACGUGGGGCCAAGACAUCAAGAGUAGAGCAGCAGGACAUUUCAAAAGAAGAUUAAUCUCAAAGAUUAGAGAUGGAAGAACUUGCAAAGAGAAAGUCUGUACCGGAAGAAAUCUGGAAAUCUAGAGGCCAGUUUAAGAAUCAGCAGCUAAACAAGGAGAAUAAUCUAGGGCAAGAGAUAGCUACCUGCACAAAAAUUCCUACCAGAAAAAGAGACAUAGAAUCUAAUGAAUUUGUGAAAAAUUUUACUGUAAGAUCAAUACUUGUUGCAGAACAGAUAGAUCCUAUGGAAGAGAAUUGUCAUAAAUAUGGUACAUGUUGAAAGAUGCUCAAACAAAACUCAGAUUUAAUUAUACAAAGAAAGUAUGAUG
rnacentral:lncRNA from 10 species